AGAGACUUGCAACUAUGCAAAAUAUUCUCAAUUACAUUUUUCAAUUGCCCACUACUGUGUCUUUGGAGCGCUAUUGUUGUUCUCCACAGGAAUCGGGGUCUAUUUUGGCUAUAAGAAAGAAACCAGUUAAACCAAAUCGCGAUGAGGAACCGAACAUUAACAGUAGUUAUGGCAAAGCUAAGUACACUAACUAUGUACAUAGUUUUUAUGCGAUAAUGGCACUAACUACUUAAUGGUAUCUCAGUCGCUUUCUUCUUAUUAUGCGCUUAGUACAUUUUUGGUUUCUGAUUUGGGUGGAAGCAUUCUUUUGAUUUGCUAAGUAUAAAACGAAUUAAUUUCGGUCGACAUAAUAUAUGAUUAUAACAGUAUUUUCCUUAAAACCACUUGUUUUAAAAAAUAAUCCUGUAAAAGGUUUGAAACCCACGAAAUGGAGUAC